CGACGCUGGCGGCAGGCCUAACACAUGCAAGUCGAACGCCCCGCAAGGGGAGUGGCAGACGGGUGAGUAACGCGUGGGAACCUACCUAGAGGUGCGGAAUAGCCCAGGGAAACUUGGAGUAAUACCGCAUACGCCCGCAAGGGGAAAGAUUUAUCGCCUUUAGGUGGGCCCGCGUCGGAUUAGCUAGUUGGUGAGGUAAUGGCUCACCAAGGCGACGAUCCGUAGCUGGUUCGAGAGAAUGACCAGCCACACUGGGACUGAGACACGGCCCAGACUCCUACGAGAGGCAGCAGUGGGGAAUCUUGGACAAUGGGCGCAAGCCUGAUCCAGCCAUGCCGCGUGAGUGACGAAGGCCUUAGGGUUGUAAAGCUCUUUUGGCGGGGACGAUAAUGACGGUACCCGCAGAAUAAGUCCCGGCUAACUUCGUG
rnacentral:rRNA from 1 species